rnacentral:rRNA from 1 species
UACGGAGGGUGCAAGCGUUACUCGGAAUUACUGGGCGUAAAGCGUGUGUAGGUGGCUUCAUAAGUCUGGUGUGAAAGCCCGGGGCUCAACCCCGGAAGUGCAUUGGAUACUGUGAGGCUAGAGUAUGGGAGAGGAGAGUGGAAUUCCAGGUGUAGAGGUGAAAUUCGUAGAUAUCUGGAAGAACACCAGCGGCGAAGGCGGCUCUCUGGACCAUAACUGACACUGAGACACGAAAGCGUGGGGAGCAAACAGG